rnacentral:rRNA from 1 species
AGAGUUGAAAAAAAGCUCAGGAUGAACGCUAGCGGCAGGCUUAAUACAUGCAAGUCGAGGGGCAGCAGGACUGUAGCAAUACAGUUGCUGGCGACCGGCAAACGGGUGCGGAACACGUACGCUUCCUACCCAUAAGUGGUGAAUAGCCCUCCGAAAGGAGGAUUAAUACACCGUAACCUUGUGAAGUGGCAUCACUCUACAAGUAUAGCUCCGGCGCUUAUGGAUGGGCGUGCGCCUGAUUAGGUAGUUGGUAGGGGUAACGGCCCACCAAGCCUUCGAUCAGUAACUGGUGUGGGAGCACGACCAGUCACACGGGCACUGAGACACGGGCCCGACUCCUACGGGAGGCAGCAGUAAGGAAUAUUGGUCAAUGGACGCAAGUCUGAACCAGCCAUGCCGCGUGAAGGAUGAAGGUCCUCUGGAUUGUAAACUUCUUUUAUAGGGGACGAAACCCAGGUAUUCUUACCUGAUUGACGGUACCCUAGGAAUAAGCACCGGCUAACUCCGUGCCAGCAGCCGCGGUAAUACGGAGGGUGCAAGCGUUAUCCGGAUUCACUGGGUUUAAAGGGUGCGUAGGAGGGCAGGUAAGUCAGUGGUGAAAUCUUCGAGCUUAACUCGGAAACUGCCGUUGAUACUAUCUGUCUUGAAUACCGUGGAGAUGAGCGGAAUAUGUCAUGUAGCGGUGAAAUGCUUAGAUAUGACAUAGAACACCAAUUGCGAAAGGCAGCUCGUUACACGAAUAUUGACUCUGAGCACGAAAGCGUGGGGAUCAAA